GAUGAACGCUAGCUACAGGCUUAACACAUGCAAGUCGAGGGGAAACGAUGAGAGAGCUUGCUCUCUUAGGCGUCGACCGGCGCACGGGUGAGUAACGCGUAUCCAACCUACCCAUUACAGGGGGAUAACCUUGCGAAAGUAAGACUAAUACCCCAUGGCAUUUUAUGGUGGCAUCAUUAUAGGAUUAAAGAUUUAUUGGUAAUGGAUGGGGAUGCGUCUGAUUAGCUUGUUGGCGGGGUAACGGCCCACCAAGGCAACGAUCAGUAGGGGUUCUGAGAGGAAGGUCCCCCACAUUGGAACUGAGACACGGUCCAAACUCCUACGGGAGGCAGCAGUGAGGAAUAUUGGUCAAUGGGCGAGAGCUUGAACCAGCCAAGUAGCGUGCAGGAUGACGGCCCUAUGGGUGGUAAACUGCUUUUAGAGGGGAAUAAAGUGAGCUACGUGUAGUUUAUUGCAUGUACCCUAUGAAUAAGGACCGGCUAAUUCCGUG
rnacentral:rRNA from 1 species